rnacentral:rRNA from 1 species
AGUGAACGCUGGCGGUAUGCCUAACACAUGCAAGUCGAACGGCAGCACAGUAAGCUCUUUCUCUUACGGUUGGCGAGUGGCGGGCGGGUGACGAAUACAUCGGCAUCUUCUUUUUCUUGGGUGAUAACGUAAGGCAACUUACGCUACUACCGCAUAUGUCCUACGGCUGGGAGCAGGGGAUCUUCGCGCCUUUGGCGUUUGAAUUAGCCGGUGUCGGAUUAGCUAGUUGGCGGGGUAAAGGCCCACCAAGGCGACGAUGCGUAGCGGGUCUGAGAGGAUGAUCAGCCACACUGGAACUGAGACACGGUCCAGACUCCUACGGGAGGCAGCAGUGGGGAAUAUUGGGCAAUGGGCGCAAGCCUGAUCCAGCAAUGCCGCGUGAGUGAAGAAGGUCUUCGGGUUGUAAAGCCCUGUUGUUGGGAAAGAACAGCAGCAGGUUAAAACCCCGCUGUUCUGACGGUACCCAAAGAGUAAGCACCGGCUAACUUCGUG